AGAGUUUGAUCAUGGCUCAGGAUGAACGCUGGCGGCGUGCUUAACACAUGCAAGUCGAACGAACCUUCGGGUUAGUGGCGGACGGGUGAGUAACGCGUGAGAAUCUGCCCUCAGGAGGGGGAUAACGGUUGGAAACGACCGCUAAUACCCCAUAUGCCGAAAGGUGAAAUGAAUUUCGCCUGAGGAUGAGCUCGCGUCUGAUUAGCUAGUUGGUGAGGUAAUGGCUCACCAAGGCUUCGAUCAGUAGCUGGUCUGAGAGGAUGAUCAGCCACACUGGGACUGAGACACGGCCCAGACUCCUACGGGAGGCAGCAGUGGGGAAUUUUCCGCAAUGGGCGAAAGCCUGACGGAGCAACGCCGCGUGAGGGACGAAGGCCUCUGGGCUGUAAACCUCUUUUCUCAAGGAAGAAGAUAUGACGGUACUUGAGGAAUAAGCCACGGCUAAUUCCGUGCCAGCAGCCGCGGUAAUACGGGAGUGGCAAGCGUUAUCCGGAAUUAUUGGGCGUAAAGCGUCCGCAGGCGGCUUAUCAAGUCUGCUGUUAAAGAGUGGAGCUUAACUCCAUCAUGGCAGUGGAAACUGAUAGGCUUGAGUAUGGUAGGGGCAGAGGGAAUUCCCGGUGUAGCGGUGAAAUGCGUAGAUAUCGGGAAGAACACCAGUGGCGAAGGCGCUCUGCUGGGCCAUUACUGACGCUCAUGGACGAAAGCCAGGGGAGCGAAAGGGAUUAGAUACCCCUGUAGUCCUGGCCGUAAACGAUGAACACUAGGUGUCGGGGGAAUCGACCCCUUCGGUGUCGUAGCUAACGCGUUAAGUGUUCCGCCUGGGGAGUACGCACGCAAGUGUGAAACUCAAAGGAAUUGACGGGGGCCCGCACAAGCGGUGGAGUAUGUGGUUUAAUUCGAUGCAACGCGAAGAACCUUACCAGGGUUUGACAUCCUGCGAACCUCUUAGAAAUUUGAGGGUGCCUUCGGGAAUGCAGUGACAGGUGGUGCAUGGCUGUCGUCAGCUCGUGUCGUGAGAUGUUGGGUUAAGUCCCGCAACGAGCGCAACCCACGUUUUUAGUUGCCAGCAUUAAGUUGGGCACUCUAGAAAGACCGCCGGUGAUAAACCGGAGGAAGGUGUGGAUGACGUCAAGUCAUCAUGCCCCUUACACCCUGGGCUACACACGUACUACAAUGCUACGGACAAAGGGCAGCAAACUCGCGAGAGCUAGCAAAUCCCAUAAACCGUGGCUCAGUUCAGAUCGUAGGCUGCAACUCGCCUACGUGAAGUAGGAAUCGCUAGUAAUCGCAGGUCAGCAUACUGCGGUGAAUACGUUCCCGGGCCUUGUACACACCGCCCGUCACACCAUGGAAGUUGGCCAUGCCCGAAGUCGUUACUCCAACCCUUGUGGAGGAGGACGCCGAAGGUGGGGCUAAUGACUGGGGUGAAGUCGUAACAAGGUAACCGUA
rnacentral:rRNA from 1 species